AACCCAAACAAAUGUUCAAUCAAGAUAUAACUUCUAUCAAAAAAUCUUCAGUGAGAAAACUUCAGUUUACUGAAGGUUUGUACAUUACCCUGGAAGAAAGAGGCUGCUUGCUCACUCCAACAGUGAAUGAGAUGCUGAAGCAAUAUGCUUGAAAUGUGGUGUUGGCUACAAAGUACCACACCUGAAAUGCUUCUACAAUAAUGGCCUCAGUGUGAGGAACAAACAAGAGGAGCUGGAACCUUUGGCCCACUCCCAGAGAUUCGACAU